rnacentral:rRNA from 1 species
AGUGAACGCUGGCGGCAGGCCUAACACAUGCAAGUCGAGCGGAAGCACGGAGAUUGCUUGUGGUUUCAGCGGCGGACGGGUGGGUAGUGCCUAGGAAUCUGGCUGGUUGCGGGGGAGAACGGGCGGACACGGGGGCUAAUACGCCAUAACUCCAGAGGGCGUAAGGGGGGAAGCUUCGGACCUCACGCUAUCAGAUGAGUCUAGGUCGGAUUAGCUAGUUGGUGGGGUAAAGGCCCACCAAGGCGACGAUCCGUAGCUGGUCUGAGAGGAUGAGCAGCCACACUGGAACUGAGACACGGUCCAGACUCCUACGGGAGGCAGCAGUGGGGAAUAUUGGACAAUGGGCGCAAGCCUGAUCCAGCCAUGCCGCGUGGGUGAAGAAGGCCUUCGGGUUGUAAAGCCCUUUUGUUGGGAAAGAAAGGCAGUAAGUUAAUACCCCGCUGUUCUGACGGUACCCAAAGAAUAAGCACCGGCUAACUUCGUG